CCUGAAGCAACCAAUCGUGGCCAACAGGCAGUGAGCUCAGAACACAGGAGCCCGCAUUCAUGUGGAGGGAAGAGCAUUGAAUGUUCACUACUGCUGACCUUCAUAUAAUUUGAAACUAGUGAGAUGUGGGGAAGCUCGAAUCCUGAGGCUGAAAAAUAUCUGUAACAAUGCAAUUCAUAAAUGGAAGUGAAGAUUCAUUGAGAUUUCUGCAGAAGUAACAAUUCUGUAGUUUUCUAACAAAAGAAAGAGGUGAAAUAUUUAUUAUUUUUGAGUUGUCCUAGUCAGAGAUAUAAAACUAAUAAAUCUCAGUAGUACAAUCUGAGAUGACAGGACAGGGAGUGCAGGAAAGAUGGGCUUUUUGCUAAAGCUCUGGGAUAGAUAAAGAAUUCUUGCAUGGUAAAUAUUUCUCAAUGAGGUAUGGUCUUUUGAGUUCAGCCAUUUGAGGUCAUGUGCAAUUCAGAGCAAUAAGGAUUCAGUGAUUUUAAAAUAAAAACUUCUUGCUUUUGUAAUAUUACCUAGCACUUUGGGAUAAAAUGUUAAUCAUUGAUUUUCUGUUGAAACUCAGAUUUCUGCUGGGCUAGUAACUCAUUCUAAGUAGUCUUCCUGUGUGGAUGAUGAACUGGACUGUCUGGGAGACAGUGUAUAUCAGCAAAACACCUCAGGAUUCAGAUUAUUGAUGAAAAUUGAGAUGGAGUCACUGGGCAGAGCUGUGUAAAGGAGGAGGGAAGGGGAGGUACAUACAGCAUUUGCCUUCCCAGCCCUCUGUGGUUCUUCUGCCAAGAGCAUCCCCUUUUGGGGUUGAACUGUUUCUACCUCACUUCAGUAUUGUGGUUCAGUGGGUCCCAAUCUGAUUGCUCUGCUUUCCUGGGUACAGGAUGGGUGUGUGACUCAAAGGCAUUGAAAUCCUUGAGAGAUGAUGUUUAACCUGGAAACAAGGGAAGAGAGUCCCUUCUUCUCUCACAGCAAAGAUGAUACAAUCACUGGCCAUGGUUAUAGGCUUGAGGAGAAUGCCAGUUUGAGUGGAUAAAAUGAUGUGAAGAGAGAAGCAAAGUUAGAAAGGGAAGAUAUAGGCUGGGUAAAGUGGCUUAAGCCUGUAGUCCCUGCACUUUGGGAGGCCAAGGCGGGCGGAUCACUGAAGUCAGGAGUUCAAGACUAACCUGGCCAACAUGGUGAAACCCUGUCUCUACUAAAAAUACAAAAAUUAGCCAGGACAGUGGCGGGCGCCUGUAAUCCCAGCUACUAGGGAGGCUGCGGCAGAAGAAUCACUUGAACCCAGGAAGCGGAGGUUGCAUUGAGCUGAGAUUGCGCCACUGCACUCCAGCCUGAGCAACAGAGUAAGACCCUGUUUCAAAAAAAAAAAGAGAGAGAGAAAGAAAAGAGAAAAGAAAACAAAACCAAAGAAAGACAUACACAGAUGGUCAGGUGCAGUGGCAUGUGCCUGUAAUCUUUGCCAGUUGGAAGGCUGAGGUGGGAGGAUUGCUUGAGUCCAGGAGUUCAAGGCCGCAUUGUGCUGUGGUGAUGCUACUGGACUCCAGCCUGAGCAACAGAGCAAUACCCUGUCUCUAAACAAACAAACAAAACAGAAAGACAUACAGAGAUGCAUACCUCACAGCAUUUGGGUUUUCUGUUUGGGUUGACCUAGAAGUGCAGCCUUACUUACCCUUGUCCGCCCACCCUGAGGUUUGGUUUCAGGUUCCAUGCAUGGAUCCAUUUCUCUUCUGCCCAAGCUGGUUGGAGUUGGAUAUCUGUCACUUUCAAUUAAAAGAGUCCAGGGGUACAGCUCAGGGCAUCAGGCUCAGGCCACCCAGCAUUCCUAUAGGGUGGAGGAGACUAGGCUAUUGCCUGCUUUUCAUGAGAAAACAAGGAGUAGCACGAAAAGUAUCUUGAACCCUAGACUAAGAGCAAACGAGAGAGAUCUGGUUUCCACUCCCACCGUUAAUGUGUGGUUAAUCUUGGAUGAGUUACUUUCUGGUUCUUCCCUUUCUACACUCCAAAUUUCUGUGUAUUUGAACAUUUAAAAGUGAUCAUGUGGCCAGGCAUGGUGGCUCACGCCUGUAAUCCCAGCAUUUUGGGAGGCCGAGGUGGUUGGAUCACGAAAUCAG
rnacentral:lncRNA from 1 species